rnacentral:rRNA from 1 species
ACAGCAGCAGCCGCGGUAAUACGUAGGGUGCGAGCGUUAAUCGGAAUUACUGGGCGUAAAGCGUGCGCAGGCGGUUGUGUAAGACAGGUGUGAAAUCCCCGGGCUUAACCUGGGAACUGCGCUUGUGACUGCACAGCUAGAGUAUGGCAGAGGGGGGUGGAAUUCCACGUGUAGCAGUGAAAUGCGUAGAGAUGUGGAGGAACACCGAUGGCGAAGGCAGCCCCCUGGGCCAAUACUGACGCUCAUGCACGAAAGCGUGGGGAGCAAACAGGAUUAGAUACCCGCGUAGUCCCUGUCUCUUAUAC